AUGCCCGGAGACAUACCACUUGUUGCCUCGGCGGAUCAGCCCGCUCCCGGUAAAACGGGACGGCCCGCCAGAGGACCCCUAAACUCUGUUUCUAUAUGUAACUUCUGAGUAAAACCAUAAAUAAAUCAAAACUUUCAACAACGGAUCUCUUGGUUCUGGCAUCGAUGAAGAACGCAGCAAAAUGCGAUAAGUAAUGUGAAUUGCAGAAUUCAGUGAAUCAUCGAAUCUUUGAACGCACAUUGCGCCCGCCAGUAUUCUGGCGGGCAUGCCUGUUCGAGCGUCAUUUCAACCCUCAAGCACAGCUUGGUGUUGGGACUCGCGUUAAUUCGCGUUCCCCAAAUUGAUUGGCGGUCACGUCGAGCUUCCAUAGCGUAGUAGUAAAACCCUCGUUACUGGUAAUCGUCGCGGCCACGCCGUUAAACCCCAACUUCUGAAUGUUGACCUCGGAUCAGGUAGGAAUACCCGCUGAACUUAAGCAUAUCAAA
rnacentral:rRNA from 1 species